GCGCACGCUGGCGGUCUGUCAAGUGGGAUGUGAAAUCCCCGGGCUCACUGGAACUGCAUUCGAAACGGCAGCUAGAGUCUGUAGAGGGGGGUAGAUUCCAGGUGCAGCGUGAAAUGCGUAGAGAUCGGGAGGAAUACCGGUGGCGAGGGCGGCCCCCUGGACAAAGACUGACGCUCAGGUGCGAAGCGUGGGGAGCAACAGGAUUAGAUACCGUGGUAGUCCACGCGUAAACGAUGUCGAUUUGGAGGUUGUGCCCUUGAGGCGUGGCUUCCGGAGCUAACGCGUUAAAUCGACCGCCUGGGGAGUACGGCCGCAAGGUUAAAACUCAAAUGAAUUGAGGGGGGCCCGCACAAGCGGUGGAGCAUGUGGUUUAUUUCGAUGCAACGCGAAGAACCUUACCUGGUCUUGACAUCCACAGAACUUUCCAGAGAUGGAUUGGUGCCUUCGGGAACUGUGAGACAGGUGCUGCAUGGCGGUCGUCAGCUCGUGUUGUGAAAUGUUGGGUUAAGUCCCGCAACGAGCGCAACCCUUUUCCUUUGUUGCCAGCGGUUAGGCCGGGAACUCAAAGGAGACUGCCAGUGAUAAACUGGAGGAAGGUGGGGAUGACGUCAAGUCAUCAUGGCCCUUACGACCAGGGCUACACACUUGCUACAAUGGCGCAUACAAAGAGAAGCGACCUCGCGAGAGCAAGCGGACCUCAUAAACUGCGUUGUAGUCCGGAUUGGAGUCUGCAACUCGACUCCAUGAAGUGGGAAUCGCUGGUAAUCGUAGAUCAGAAUGCUACGGUGAAUACGUUCCCGGGCCUUGUACACACCGCCCGUCACACCAUGGGAGUGGGUUGCUAUAAAGAAGUAGGUAGCUUAACCUCGGGAGG
rnacentral:rRNA from 2 species